rnacentral:rRNA from 1 species
UCAUUAACAAAUCCAGUCCAAAGUGACCCCCCUCUACGAGCUCAGAGAAGGGGGGUUGCGUCUUCAACAGACUUUCACACCUUGAACACCACAUUGUUGAUGUUGACCCCACACACAACCAAAGCCUGUCAUGAACAAAAGAGCAUGUCUUGUUCGGGGCUCUACGGAGCCUUGAAGUACAAAAAAAAAAAAAAUUGACAACUUUCAACAACGGAUCUCUUGGCUUUCGCAUCGAUGAAGAACGCCGCGAAAGCGCGAAACGUAAUGUGAAUUGCAGAAUUCAGUGAAUCAUCGAAUCUUUGAACGCACCUUGCGCUCCUUGGUAUUCCGAGGAGCAUGCCCGUUUGAGCGUCGUGAAAAUCUCUCGACCGUACAUCCCUGCUCUCUCGUGGGUUGUGUGUGGUUGGAUCUUGGAUGCUGCCGUCUUUGACUCCUCGGGGACGGCUCGUCUCGAAAAGCAUUAGCUGUCUUUUUAACCUCGGGUCCCCACGGGACGACGGUGUGAUAAGUUGAAAAUGUGUCACCUGUCUCGGGGGGAGAGGGGAUGGCUCACAGUUGUCUUUGGACGAGGAAAGGGGGCUGAAGGCUCCCUCGAAAUCUGACCUCAAAUCGGGUAGGACUACCCGCCGAACUUAAGCAUAUCAAUAAGCGGAGGAAAAGAAACUAACAAGGAUUCCCCUAGUAACGGCGAGUGAAGCGGGAAGAGCUCAAAUUUGUAAUCUGGNGGCCUACGGUCGUCCGAG